rnacentral:rRNA from 1 species
UACAGAGGGGGCAAGCGUUAUUCGGAAUUAUUGGGCGUAAAGGGCGCGUAGGCGGCCUUUCAAGUGACGGGUGAAAUCCCCCGGCUUAACCGGGGAACUGCCUGUCAGACUGGGAGGCUUGAGACCGGGAGAGGUGAGUGGAAUUCCCAGUGUAGCGGUGAAAUGCGUAGAUAUUGGGAGGAACACCAGUGGCGAAGGCGGCUCACUGGACCGGUACUGACGCUGAUGCGCGAAAGCGUGGGGAGCAAACGGG